CGUCCAGAGGAGAUAAAAUCAUGCUUAAAAACUCAGAAAUAUGCACUUGAUGAAAAAGACCAUGAGCAAGAACUUCUUCCACUGCCUCUUUUAAUCUCGACAUCCAAAAGGGAUUACUUCUAUUAACCCGAAGAUGCAUCUCACUAGAUAAAUGCAAUAACGGCUCGAGAAGUUUAUCCAAAAAAUUAUGAAAUCCUUUCUUAGCUCGCUGGACACUCAACUUAGAGAAUGGCAG
rnacentral:sRNA from 1 species